AUUUUUGUCUUCUCCCCCGCUCCCUAAUUCUGUUGAAGUGGCAAUAACAUCAGGCUUUCACAAGUUCCUGAUGAAAGUAGGGACUGAAUGCCCCAGGACUGUGUGUGCAUGAUGGAGAACAAGAUGGAGACAGAAGGUUUGCUUGGGGCUGGAAGAACAUGUUUUGCCUCUGCAGCCUUAUGAAAACAGCUGAAGUAAAUUACUUUCAGACCACCUGAAGGGAGCAGCUCUAAAUGCUUCAGGGCGUGUGGUUGAACAGACUCCAACUACCAAGAUGGAGAAGCUGAAGUGGAUCACACUGGUCAGCACUGACCAGAACCACCUCAAGCACCAGGGCAGCAGACACAAGCAGGAAAAUUGACUCUGAUCAUCCCUGGGGUCGUUUAACUAAAACACACAUUUCGGUCGAGCCAAGUGUUCACCAGCGCUUUUCAACUCCCCUGGUGUCAAAACAAUUAGCAGAUCACAGCAGCACCGACUCGCUGGUGCUGCAAUGGAAGCAUCUGGCCAGCACAUGGAGACGCAAUGCCAGCACAGACAAAUGUGACCAGAAGGAAUCUGACACAACCAACCCUUCCUUUGCAAUCAACGUGGGAUCCAAAACAAACCUUCGGCGCUCUCGGCAUCGCUGCCCAGGGAACCAGGCAUCCUGCAAAUAAACACUGAAUUGCAAAU
rnacentral:lncRNA from 1 species